rnacentral:rRNA from 1 species
UACGAAGGGGGCUAGCGUUGCUCGGAAUCACUGGGCGUAAAGCGCACGUAGGCGGCUUUCUAAGUCAGGGGUGAAAUCCUGGAGCUCAACUUCAGAACUGCCUUUGAUACUGGAGAGCUUGAGUCCGGAAGAGGUGAGUGGAACUCCGAGUGUAGAGGUGAAAUUCGUAGAUAUUCGGAAGAACACCAGUGGCGAAGGCGGCUCACCGGUCCGGUACUGACGCUGAGGUGCGAAAGCGUGGGGAGCAAACAGG